AGGCCAAUCAAACCGGGAGAUAGCUGGUUCUCCCCGAAAGCUAUUUAGGUAGCGCCUCGUGAAUUCAUCUCCGGGGGUAGAGCACUGUUUCGGCAAGGGGGUCAUCCCGACUUACCAACCCGAUGCAAACUGCGAAUACCGGAGAAUGUUAUCACGGGAGACACACGGCGGGUGCUAACGUCCGUCGUGAAGAGGGAAACAACCCAGACCGCCAGCUAAGGUCCCAAAGUCAUGGUUAAGUGGGAAACGAUGUGGGAAGGCCCAGACAGCCAGGAUGUUGGCUUAGAAGCAGCCAUCAUUUAAAGAAAGCGUAAUAGCUCACUGGUCGAGUCGGCCUGCGCGGAAGAUGUAACGGGGCUAAACCAUGCACCGAAGCUGCGGCAGCGACGCUUAUGCGUUGUUGGGUAGGGGAGCGUUCUGUAAGCCUGUGAAGGUGUACUGUGAGGUAUGCUGGAGGUAUCAGAAGUGCGAAUGCUGACAUAAGUAACGAUAAAGCGGGUGAAAAGCCCGCUCGCCGGAAGACCAAGGGUUCCUGUCCAACGUUAAUCGGGGCAGGGUGAGUCGACCCCUAAGGCGAGGCCGAAAGGCGUAGUCGAUGGGAAACAGGUUAAUAUUCCUGUACUUGGUGUUACUGCGAAGGGGGGACGGAGAAGGCUAUGUUGGCCGGGCGACGGUUGUCCCGGUUUAAGCGUGUAGGCUGGUUUUCCAGGCAAAUCCGGAAAAUCAAGGCUGAGGCGUGAUGACGAGGCACUACGGUGCUGAAGCAACAAAUGCCCUGCUUCCAGGAAAAGCCUCUAAGCAUCAGGUAACAUCAAAUCGUACCCCAAACCGACACAGGUGGUCAGGUAGAGAAUACCAAGGCGCUUGAGAGAACUCGGGUGAAGGAACUAGGCAAAAUGGUGCCGUAACUUCGGGAGAAGGCACGCUGAUAUGUAGGUGAAGUCCCUCGCGGAUGGAGCUGAAAUCAGUCGAAGAUACCAGCUGGCUGCAACUGUUUAUUAAAAACACAGCACUGUGCAAACACGAAAGUGGACGUAUACGGUGUGACGCCUGCCCGGUGCCGGAAGGUUAAUUGAUGGGGUUAGCGGUAACGCGAAGCUCUUGAUCGAAGCCCCGGUAAACGGCGGCCGUAACUAUAACGGUCCUAAGGUAGCGAAAUUCCUUGUCGGGUAAGUUCCGACCUGCACGAAUGGCGUAAUGAUGGCCAGGCUGUCUCCACCCGAGACUCAGUGAAAUUGAACUCGCUGUGAAGAUGCAGUGUACCCGCGGCAAGACGGAAAGACCCCGUGAACCUUUACUAUAGCUUGACACUGAACAUUGAGCCUUGAUGUGUAGGAUAGGUGGGAGGCUUUGAAGUGUGGACGCCAGUCUGCAUGGAGCCGGCCUUGAAAUACCACCCUUUAAUGUUUGA
rnacentral:rRNA from 1 species